UACAGAGGUGGCAAGCGUUUGUUCGGGAAUUACUGGGCGUAAAGGGCGCGUAGGCGGCCUUCUAAGUCAGACGUGAAAUCCCCCGGCUUAACCUGGGACUGCGUCUGAUACUGGGAGGCUUGAGUAUGGGAGAGGGAUGUAGAAUUCCAGGUGUAGCGGUGAAAUGCGUAGAUAUCUGGAGGAAUACCGGUGGCGAAGGCGGCAUCCUGGACCAUAACUGACGCUGAGGCGCGAAAGCUAGGGGAGUUAAACGGG
rnacentral:rRNA from 1 species